rnacentral:rRNA from 1 species
GACGAACGCUAGCGGCGUGCUUAACACAUGCAAGUCGAACGGUAAGGCCCUUCGGGGUACACGAGUGGCGAACGGGUGAGUAACACGUGGGUGAUCUGCCCUGCACUUCGGGAUAAGCCUGGGAAACUGGGUCUAAUACCGGAUAGGACCCUGGGAUGCAUGUCCUGGGGUGGAAAGCUUUUGCGGUGUGGGAUGGGCCCGCGGCCUAUCAGCUUGUUGGUGGGGUGAUGGCCUACCAAGGCGACGACGGGUAGCCGGCCUGAGAGGGUGACCGGCCGCGCUGGGACUGAGAUACGGCCCAGACUCCUACGGGAGGCAGCAGUGGGGAAUAUUGCACAAUGGGCGCAAGCCUGAUGCAGCGACGCCGCGUGAGGGAUGACGGCCUUCGGGUUGUAAACCUCUUUCAGCACCGACGAAGCGCAAGUGACGGUAGGUGCAGAAGAAGGACCGGCCAACUACGUGCCAGCCGCCGCGGUAA